rnacentral:rRNA from 1 species
UACGUAGGGUGCGAGCGUUGUCCGGAAUUACUGGGCGUAAAGAGCUCGUAGGUGGUUUGUCGCGUUGUUCGUGAAAACUCACAACUCAAUUGUGGGCGUGCGGGCGAUACGGGCAGACUGGAGUACUGCAGGGGAGACUGGAAUUCCUGGUGUAGCGGUGAAAUGCGUAGAUAUCAAGAGGAACACCUGAGGUGAAGACGGGUUGCUGGGCUGACACUGACGCUGAGGCGCGAAAGCCAGGGGAGCAAACGGG